CAAAUUUGAUAGCAAAUUUUGCUAUCUUUCAAUUGAAAGUAUAAAAUUGAUUACUACUUUAGUUUCCCUUAUACUAUGAUACUAGUGGAAUAUUGAAAGAUUAAAAAGGAUUGCUACUUUGUUUUUUUUGGUUACAAUUGCUACUUUGCAUGAUUGUAUAUACUUGCUUGAUAGUCUUCUAUGAGAAACCAAAAUACUUGUCUAAUGAUUUUGUAAUAGAACAUUAUUAUUGUUAAAUGAUUUUAAAUAAAGAUUAUAC
rnacentral:lncRNA from 1 species